rnacentral:tRNA from 1 species
AGGACAUCACCCUUUCACGGUGAGUACCGGGGUUCGAAUCCCCGUGGGGACG